rnacentral:rRNA from 1 species
UACGCAGGGUGCGAGCGUUGUCCGGAAUUAUUGGGCGUAAAGGGCUCGUAGGCGGUCUGUUGCGUCGGGAGUGAAAACUUACAGCUUAACUGUGAGCGUGCUUUCGAUACGGGCAGACUUGAGGUAUUCAGGGGAGAACGGAAUUCCUGGUGUAGCGGUGAAAUGCGUAGAUAUCUGGAGGAACACCGGUGGCGAAGGCGGCAUCCUGGACCGGCAUUGACGCUGAGGCGCGAAAGCCAGGGGAGCAAACGGG